AUUGAACGCUGGCGGCAUGCUUUACACAUGCAAGUCGAACGGCAGCGCGGGGCAACCUGGCGGCGCGUGGCGAACGGGUGAGUAAUAUAUCGGAACGUACCCAGAAGUGGGGGAUAACGUAGCGAAAGUUACGCUAAUACCGCAUACGAUCUACGGAUGAACGUAGGGGACCGCAAGGCCUUAUGCUUUUGGAGCGGCCGAUAUCUGAUUAGCUAGUUGGUGAGGUAAAGGCUCACCAAGGCGACGAUCAGUAGCUGGUCUGAGAGGACGACCAGCGACACUGGAACUGAGACACGGUCCAGACUCCUACGGGAGGCAGCAGUGGGGAAUUUUGGACAAUGGGCGCAAGCCUGAUCCAGCAAUGCCGCGUGAGUGAAGAAGGCCUUCGGGUUGUAAAGCUCUUUUGUCAGGGAAGAAACGGUAGAGGCUAAUAUCCUUUGCUAAUGACGGUACCUGAAGAAUAAGCACCGGCUAACUACGUG
rnacentral:rRNA from 1 species